rnacentral:misc_RNA from 1 species
CUGCCCUCAAGCACGGCUUGUGUGUUGGGCCCUCGUCCCCCGGGACGGGCCCGAAAGGCAGCGGCGGCACCGCGUCCGGUCCUCGAGCGUAUGGGGCUUCGUCACCCGCUCUGUAGGCCCGGCCGGCGCCUGCCGACACCAUCAAUCUUUUUUCCA